rnacentral:rRNA from 1 species
AACCUGGGAACUGCAUUCGAAACUGGCAGGCUUGAGUCUUGUAGAGGGGGGUAGAAUUCCAGGUGUAGCGGUGAAAUGCGUAGAGAUCUGGAGGAAUACCGGUGGCGAAGGCGGCCCCCUGGACAAAGACUGACGCUCAGGUGCGAAAGCGUGGGGAGCAAACAGGAUUAGAUACCCUGGUAGUCCACGCCGUAAACGAUGUCUACUUGGAGGUUGUGCCCUUGAGGCGUGGCUUCCGGAGCUAACGCGUUAAGUAGACCGCCUGGGGAGUACGGCCGCAAGGUUAAAACUCAAAUGAAUUGACGGGGGCCCGCACAAGCGGUGGAGCAUGUGGUUUAAUUCGAUGCAACGCGAAGAACCUUACCUGGUCUUGACAUCCACAGAAGAAUCCAGAGAUGGAUUUGUGCCUUCGGGAACUGUGAGACAGGUGCUGCAUGGCUGUCGUCAGCUCGUGUUGUGAAAUGUUGGGUUAAGUCCCGCAACGAGCGCAACCC